rnacentral:rRNA from 1 species
AUUGAACGCUGGCGGCAGGCCUAAAACAUGCAAGUCGAACGAGUGGCGGACGGGUGAGUAAUGUCCGGGAAACUGCCCGAUGGAGGUGGAUAACUACUGGAAACGGUAGCUAAUACUGCAUACCAGUGGAUGUGCCAAGAUGGGAUUAGCUAGUAGGUGGGGGAACGGCUCACCAGGGCGACGAUCCCUAGCGGGUCUGAGAGGAUGAACAGCCACACGGGAACUGAGACACGGUCCAGACUCCUACGGGAGGCAGCAGUGGGGAAUAUUGCACAAUGGGCGCAAGCCUGAUGCAGCCAUGCCGCGUGUGUGAAGAAGGCCUUCGGGUUGUAAAGUACUUUCAGCGAGGAGGCGUUACUCACAGAAGAAGCACCGGCUAACUCCGUGCCAGCAGCCGCGGUAAUAC